CUGGAGAGCUGGGAAAAGCAGAAAAUUUAUCAAGCUCUGGGGCAUCAGCCAUGAAUGGGUAAGAAAUCUCUUCUCCCACAUAAGGGAUGUUCUUCCAAGCUGCUGGACACCCAUCCCACAAAAGUUUGCAGGUCACAGGAUCCUCAUUCCAGAGGUGCCCGCCCCAUAUCCAGAGGAAAGAAACAUCUUUAACUCUGAAGACACAGGGAUACAGAAGAAUCUGAACAAACAGCCUUGCUAAAUUCUCCCCAGUUUAUUCCCAUUAGAUCACACCCACUUUAUCCAAUUAUAUUUCUCCAUGACUGUCCAGUCUUCCUCAAACUUAAGCAUAAAAAUAUACAAAGUUUACCUAUUUCUUUAGGUCUUCAAUUUCUCAUAAAGUCUCCUGUGUCAUGUAAAACUUAUAUUAAAUAGAUUUGUAUGCUUU
rnacentral:lncRNA from 1 species